rnacentral:rRNA from 1 species
UACGGAGGGGGCAAGCGUUGUCCGGACUUACUGGGCGUAAAGGGUGCGUAGGCGGCCUGCUGCGUCGGUGCUGAAAGCCCCAGGCUCAACCUGGGAAGUGCGCGCGAAACUGGCGGACUUGAGUGCUGGAGAGGGUGGCGGAAUUCCAGGUGUAGCGGUGAAAUGCGUAGAUAUCUGGAGGAACACCGGUGGCGAAGGCGACGUCCUGGACCGGCAUUGACGCUGAGGCGCGAAAGCCAGGGGAGCAAAGCGGGAU